AAGCCCCGGCUAACUACGUGCCAGCAGCCGCGGUAAUACGUAGGGGCGAGCGUUAUCCGGAAUUAUUGGGCGUAAAGGGUGCGUAGACGGCAUAAGAAGUCUUUUGUAAAAUAGUUGGGCUCAACCCAAUUAGGCAAAGGAAACUCUUAAGCUUAGAGUACGGUAGAGGCAAGUGGAAUUCCAUGUGUAGCGGUAAAAUGCGUAAAUAUAUGGAGGAACACCGGUGGCGAAGGCGGCUUGCUGGGCCUGUACUGACGUUGAGGCACGAAAGCGUGGGGAAGCAAACAGGAUUAGAUACCCUGGUAGUCCAUGCCGUAAACGAUGAGUGCUAAGUGUUGGGAGUUUCCGCCUCUCAGUGCUGCAGCUAACGCAUUUAAGCACUCCGCCUGGGGAGUACGACCGCAAGGUUGAAACUCAAAGGAAUUGACGGGGGCCCGCAC
rnacentral:rRNA from 1 species